ACCAGGAUGGCGAGUGGUGAAGGCGUUUGACUUAAGAUCCAAUGGACGAGGUGUCCUCGUGGGUUCGAACCUCACUCCUGGUA
rnacentral:tRNA from 1 species